AGAGUUUGAUCAUGGCUCAGAACGUACGCUGGCGGCACGCCUAAUACAUGCAAGUCGAACGAAGUAGCAAUACUUAGUGGCAAACGGGUGAGUAAUAUGUAGGUAUCUUCCCAUUGGUGAGGAAUAACACGAGGAAACUUGUGCUAAUACCUCAUAAGUCUUUACGGAGAAAGCUUUAUGCGCCGAUGGAUGAGCCUGCACUUGAUUAGUUUGUUGGUAGGGUAAUGGCCUACCAAGACAAUGAUCAAUAGCUGAUUUGAGAGGAUGAUCAGCCACAUUGGGACUGAGACACAGCCCAAACUCCUACGGGAGGCAGCAGUAGGGAAUCUUGCACAAUGGGGGAAACCCUGAUGCAGCGAUGCCGCGUGAGUGAAGAAGGCCUUUGGGUUGUAAAGCUCUUUCGUCGGGGAAGAAAAUGACUGUACCCGAAUAAGAAGGUCCGGCUAACUUCGUGCCAGCAGCCGCGGUAAUACGAAGGGACCUAGCGUAGUUCGGAAUUACUGGGCUUAAAGAGUUCGUAGGUGGUUAAAAAAGUUGGUGGUGAAAUCCCAGAGCUUAACUCUGGAACUGCCAUCAAAACUUUUUAGCUAGAGUAUGAUAGAGGAAAGCAGAAUUUCUAGUGUAGAGGUGAAAUUCGUAGAUAUUAGAAAGAAUACCAAUUGCGAAGGCAGCUUUCUGGAUCAUUACUGACACUGAGGAACGAAAGCAUGGGUAGCGAAGAGGAUUAGAUACCCUCGUAGUCCAUGCCGUAAACGACGUGUGUUAGACGUUGGAAAUUUAUUUUCUGUGUCGCAGCGAAAGCAAUAAACACACCGCCUGGGGAGUACGACCGCAAGGUUAAAACUCAAAUGAAUUGACGGGGACCCGCACAAGUAGUGGAGCAUGUGGUUUAAUUCGAAGAUACGCGCAGAACCUUACCAACACUUGACAUGUUCGUCGCGACUUUAAGAGAUUAAAGUUUUCGGUUCGGCCGGACGAAACACAGGUGCUGCAUGGCUGUCGUCAGCUCGUGUCGUGAGAUGUUGGGUUAAGUCCCGCAACGAGCGCAACCCUCACUUUUAGUUGCCAUCAUUUAGUUGGGCACUCUGAAAGAACUGCCAGUGAUAAGCUGGAGGAAGGUGGGGAUGACGUCAAGUCCUCAUGGCCCUUACGUGUUGGGCUACACACGUGCUACAAUGGCAUUUACAAUAGGAAGCAAGACGGCGACGUUUAGCAAAUCCUAAAAAAAUGCCUCAGUUCGGAUUGUACUCUGCAACUCGAGUACAUGAAGCUGGAAUUACUAGUAAUCGCGGAUCAGCGCGCCGCGGUGAAUACGUUCCCG
rnacentral:rRNA from 1 species